rnacentral:misc_RNA from 1 species
GAUGAAGAACGUAGCGAAAUGCGAUAAGUAAUGUGAAUUGCAGAAUUCAGUGAAUCAUCGAAUCUUUGAACGCACAUUGCGCCCGCCAGUAUACUGGCGGGCAUGCCUGUUCGAGCGUCAUUUCAACCAUCAAGCCCCCGGCUUGUGUUGGGGACCUGCGGCUGCCGCAGGCCCUGAAAACCAGUGGCGGGCUCGCUAGUCACUCCGAGCGUAAUAAUACAUCUCGCUCAGGGCGUGCUGCGGGUUCCGGCCGUUAAAAAGCCUUAUUUAUCCAAGGUUGACCUCGGAUCAGGUAGGAAGACCCGCUGAACUUAAGCAUAUCAAUAAGCGGAGGA